AUGCUGUGGGAGAUGGCCUCCAGCGUGGCGUUCCAGCCGCAGUGCGUGAGGAAGCCGCCCACCGCCGGGUGCGACAGGAUGGUCACCUGCGGCGCCCACCCGCGCACGACUAGGCCCCUGUCCUCGACGCGCGACUCGAACCCCUCGUCCUUGCCGAGCGCCGCCGCGUACGCGUCGACGAAGAUGCCUUCAACGCCGCGGAACGUGUUGAUCAGAAGGCCGUCAGCGGUGGCCUCGGCAUCGAGAAUGUCGCGCUGCUCCUUCUCCACGCCGGGGUGCUGGAAGAAGCACCGGAACGUGGCCGUGUUCCCGACGGCGUGCACCGGGAAGUCCGGCACCUCGAACGGCUCCAUCUCGUCGUCGCGGACGCGGUCGUACACGCCGUGCGUGGACAGGUUGUGCACGGCCAGGAGGAAAUAG
rnacentral:rRNA from 1 species